CGAACUGGGUAAUGCUUCUCCUGUCUCCACAGAUAGACAACCAACACCCUCUUCCCUCCCAAUGAGGACUUCGACCAUCGAGUAUCAAGAUUUCUGUGAUGCUAACCCUGAAUGCCAUUUGGUGCCUUUAACGCUCCACAUUACGUACAAGGGAAAUCCUCCGACUCCUGAAGAAAUUGAGCAACUGAAGGCGUCGGCUUGGGAGCAGUUACACGAGAGGCUGAAGAAAGCAUUCCCCAAGUUGACUUUCGGGAGAGUGAAGCCCAAGG